UACAGGGGGUGCAAACGUUGCUCGGAAUUAUUGGGCGUAAAGCGCGCGUAGGCGGUCACCUAAGUCGAAUGUGAAAGCCCUCGGCUCAACCGGGGAAGUGCAUCCGAAACUGGGCGACUGGAGUACCAAAGAGGGUCGCGGAAUUCCCGGUGUAGAGGUGAAAUUCGUAGAUAUCGGGAGGAACACCGGUGGCGAAGGCGGCGACCUGGGUCGAGACUGACGCUGAGGCGCGAAAGCGUGGGGAGCGAACAGG
rnacentral:rRNA from 1 species